AUAGGAUAGGAUCGUGGUCGAUUAUGGUAGUUGGUGAGAUAACGGCUCACCAAGCCGAUAAUCGAUAGGGGCCGUGAGAGCGGGAGCCCCAAGAUGGGUACUGAGACAGCGACCCAGGCCUUACGAGGCGCAGCAGGCGCGAGACCUCCGCAAUACACGAAAGUGUGACGGGGUUACUCAAAGUGUUCUCUUAAGAACUGUGGCAGGUGAGUAAUGUCCCCUGCUAGAAAGGAGAGGGCAAGGCUGGUGCCAGCCGCCGCGGUAAAACCAGCUCUUCAAGUGGUCGGGAUAAUUAUUGGGCUUAAAGUGUCCGUAGCCGGUUUAGUAAGUUCCUGGUAGAAUCGGGUAGCUUAACUAUCUGCAUGCUAGGAAUACUGCUAUACUAGAGGGCGGGAGAGGUCUGAGGUACUACAGGGGUAGGGGUGAAAUCUUAUAAUCCUUGUAGGACCACCAGUGGCGAAGGCGUCAGACUGGAACGCGCCUGACGGUGAGGGACGAAAGCCAGGGGAGCGAACCGGAUUAGAUACCCGGGUAGUCCUGGCCGUAAACGAUGCAUACUAGGUGAUGGUACGGCCAUGAGCCGUAUCAGUGCCGUAGGGAAACCGUUAAGUGUGCCGCCUGGGAAGUACGGUCGCAAGGCUAAAACUUAAAAAUUGGCGGGGGAGCACCACAAGGGGUGAAGCCUGCGGUUCAAUUGGACCCAACGCCGGGAAACUUACCAGGGGAGACAGUAGAAUGAGGGUCAGGUUGACGACCUUACCUGAUGAGCUGAGAGGAGGUGCAUGGCCGUCGCCAGUUCGUGCUGUGAGGUAUCCUGUUAAGUCAGGCAACGAACGAGAUCCGCACCUUUAUUUGCCAACAAGAAGUUACGACUUCGUUGGGAACACUAAAGGGACCGCCGUCGAUAAGACGGAGGAAGGAGCGGGCAAAGGCAGGUCAGUAUGCCCCGAAACCCCUGGGCUACACGCGGGCUGCAAUGGUAUGAACAAUGGGCUGUAACUCCGAAAGGAGAAACCAAUCCCGAAAUCAUAACACAGUGGGGAUUGUUGGCUGUAACCCGCCGACAUGAACGUGGAAUCCCUAGUAAUCGUGUGUCAUCAUCGCACGGUGAAUACGUCUCUGCUCCUUGCACACACCGCCCGUCGCUCCAUCCGAGUGUACUAAAAAUGAGGUUUGGUCAGACUGGUCAUAUCGAGUUUCUAGUAUGCGAGGAGGGAGAAGUCGUAACAAGGUAGCCGUAGGGGAACCUGCGGCUGGAUCACCUCC
rnacentral:rRNA from 1 species